CUAUCAUGAUGCAUCAUCACAUUUCAUCAAAAAUCAUCAUAGCAAAAGGUCAUUUUUCAAGUGUUCAUUUUAAAAAUUGGUGGGAAAAAUAGUGAAUUUUCAAAAUACAAGGCAUUUGCAUACAAAACCUUUUCCAACACAUCAUAAACAUCAAAUAUGACUUGCUUGAACUGGUUUUGUACUGUUGCAUUGGCUACAUUGUGAAAAGGGCAUUUUGGCCAAUUAUGCAUAAACCUCAUUUUGCUAAUUCACUUCCAAUUUGCCUAAUUGUGAUUAACACUUGGAUUAAGACAUGGU
rnacentral:lncRNA from 1 species